rnacentral:pre_miRNA from 1 species
AUACUACUCCCUCCGUCUGGUAUUAAGUGUCGCAAUUUUGUAUCUAGACACAUUUUAGUGUGUAGGUACAUGUGUAUCUAAACAAAGUUGCGACACUUAUUACCGAACGGAGGGAGUACUAU